CCCAAAUAACAUCCAAUUCUUCUAAAAGCUAUAAAAAGAUAUGAUAUUGUUUCGAAUAUUUCUUCGCCCAAUAAAAUUUUAGAAUCAUUAGGCUCUACUUCAAUAGAAAGUGAUUGUACACAUAAACAUGUAGACUUUCACCCAGAUGUAGUGACCUAUGGCUAUAAACUUUAUCUACAAAUACGACCUUACACACAACACUCUACUAUAUAUAUAUAAUAGAACACUAAACACGUAAAUUUUAUGUAAAUGCCCAUUUAUAAGUUUGUAAAAUAAUAAUUUGUUUUUAUAAAAAUCUGGCUAUGCCUAUAGUACUCUUAACAAAAUUAUGACUAAAAAUAUUAUGAACGUCGAGUUGCUAGAUUCAUCAUCUUUGUGUGUCUGAUAAACCCAGAGAAUCAAGAUAUAAUAGUAUAUAGGCCCCCUAUUAUAUAGAAUCUAGCUCUAGUCGACUGUAGACUAGAUCUAGGAUAAAUCUCAAGUCUAGAUGAUCAGCUUCAUCUUACCUUGAUCAUGGCAUGAUCAACAUGAACAUGAUAAUUAAUGAUUUUAUUAAUCUGACUAAUGACUUGUUAACUUAAAUUUCGACUUAGCCUUAGCUUCUUCAUAUAUGUGAAUCAUGAAUGGAAGCGCUUGGCUCACAGUGUCACAGAUCGUUCUUUAAACUAUUUGAAGAUCUACUUUAUCUUUACUAACGACUCUAAUCUAUAUCUAGUUUAUAUCUAUAUUUUAUACGAUAAUAAUAGACCUAGACUCUUAUAAGAUCUAGAAUCUGUAUCUAGAUCUAUUCCUGUGUUGUAAAUAAAACAUAUUAUAUUCCCUCCAGCCUGUGCAGGGUAUUUUUAAAGUGAUAAUUGGCUCAUGCAGGCCAAUACCACUCUUUUGUUAUCUAAGGUGUUUUCCUUCAAAUUAUACUUUCUUGCAUAAGAUUUAAAUAUAUUAUGCAACAAUUCUCAAUUAGAAGUACAGAUUAUCCAGUUAUCUUGGUGGAAAAGGAGAUUUCAGAUGAGUUGAGACAAUGCUUAAAGAAAGUCUUUACAUGAUUCUUUGAACUAAGUCACUAUAAAUAUUUUGGAGAUUUUUAAAAUUUAAUUAGAAUUUUAUUAUUGCUCACAGUAAAAGCAAUUGUUCUUUUCUUUUCCACAGAUGUAUAUUUCAAGAAGAAAUGAUGCUUUCUUAUUCCUAAGAGUUUAUCAAUAGGAUGAAUGCCACAAAACUCACUUGUUAUGCCAGAAACUCUUCCUACGAAACUUCCAUACUAGAAUUUGUCCAGUGCCUGUGAUCCUCUGAGUUGAAGGAGAAUGUGCUCCAUAAUACCUACUAGGAGCUUGCUGAUAGCUGGAAGUUCAUGAAUACUAUGUUGUCCUUGAUUUUAUGAUUCUGAAAACUACCAUUUCUGAAGACUUGAGCAUUAUUUCUAUAAUUUAAAAAAAUCUUUUCAGGAAAUAUUGUGUUUAUAAUAUUAAGAAAGUGAAGAUAAUAUUGUUCUUACUAAUAUUAUUGACUUAUUAAAAUAGAAAGCACAUCAUUACUUCAAUAUUCACUUGUCAGUAAAUGUUAGCAUUAUUCAAUUUCCUGUAAAAAGUCUAUAAUAAUAAGUUAAUGUCGAUGUAGUAUUGUUCAGACACUUACAAGUUUAAUCCUCUAUACUUCACAAAAAAAAAGUGUUUGAAUGGUUUUCAUUUGUUUGUACAUCAAAUAUGUAUUAAUAUAAUUAUCAUUUUUAGAUGAAACAUUAAAUACUGAAGAUGACCAUUUCAAAUUCUGAUGUAGGCCUAUUCUCAUUUCAUAAAACAAACAGAAUAUUAUCUGAAAUUUCAUCCUUUCAUGGUAACUGUAACUGGCUUCAUAAAAAAAUGGAUUGAUGACUUGGUUGACUAUACAUUUUUGUAUAAAUAAUGCAUCAAUGAAUGUAGCUUAUACUGUUCUUUUCCUCAUCUUGAAAUGUGCUGACUGAUAAUUUGCUGUUGCAUUUUGUUUUCAUAAGUCAAUGACGCAUGAUACUCUAAAUGACAAAUAUCUUCUACUCAUUACAAUAGCACAUUUCCAUGCUGUUUGUCUAAGUGGAAGCAGAUAAAAUUUGUUCCUCUAUUUGCUGUAAAAUCUCAAAAUUCAUGAGCAGCUGAAAAAAAAAAGAAAAGAAAUUCAAACUAGUUUAGACAUGUUAUAAAUAUAUGUUACAAAUAUAUAUAUAUAUUUGCUAAUAAAAAAUGUAAGACUACUUUAUGUUACAACAAUGGACAGCAUCUUUAAAGCUGAUUUCAAUGCAAUCACAAGAAAUAAUUUUUUCUCUACAAUUAGGCCUGCUUUAAUUAUUUUUUUUUAAUGUAAAUAAAUUUUAUGCAUAGGAUUAAAUAUAACAUGUACUUAA